GCACACAUAAAUCUGUCUACCUAUCACGACCCAGCUCCGCCGUCUGCAGACACACACUCUCAAACCCUCGUUUUUUCACAAAGAGAGUGAGAGAAUCGCUCAAUCUAUAUAUACAUAUACAUAUAUUUACACAUGGAUUCGGAUCAAGGAAAGCUUUUUAUUGGAGGGAUAUCAUGGGAGACAGAUGAGGAAAAGCUCAAGGAGUAUUUUCAAGGGUAUGGUGAGGUUUUGCAGACUGUAGUGAUGAGAGAUAAGAUCUCGGGCAAACCUAGAGGAUUUGGGUUUGUUGUAUUUACAGAUCCGAACAUUUUGGAUCGGGUUCUUCAAGAGAGACAUGUUAUCGAUGGCCGCCCGGUAGAGGCAAAGAGAGCUUUAUCAAGAGAGGAACAACAAGUUUCAAAAGGUGGAAACUCUAAUACUUUUAGGAACUUCGGAGGUGUUGGGAAUACUAGGACAAAGAAGAUAUUUGUUGGGGGAUUGCCACCAAUUCUUUCUGAAGAUGGAUUCCGUCAUUAUUUUGAAGCUUACGGCACUGUAACUGAUGUAGUAAUAAUGUAUGAUCAGCAGACAAACAGACCUCGUGGAUUUGGUUUUAUUUCAUUUGAUUCCGAGGACGCAGUAGAUAGGGUUUUACACAAGACUUUUCAUGAUCUAAAUGGGAAGCAAGUGGAAGUGAAGCGUGCUCUUCCAAAAGAUGCCAAUCCUGGUGGGAGUGGCCGUUCUAUGGGUGGUGGGACUGGCGGCAGCAGUGUUGGAGGAUAUCAAGGGUAUGGUUCUUCUGUUGGAGAUAGUCGUAUGGAUUCCUCCAGGUACAUGCAAUCUCAAAAUGCUGGAGGUGGAUAUCCACCUUAUGGUCCAUCUGGGUAUAAUACUUCCGGUUAUGGUUAUGGUCCUGGCAAUAAUGGCAUGGCUUAUGGUGGAUAUGGAAAUUAUGGAAGUGCUGGUUCAGGCUAUGGGAAUCCUAAUGCUCCAAAUGCCCAAAGAAGUUCAUGGGGUUCACAGGCUCCCUCUGGAUAUGGAAAUAUGGGCUAUGGAAGUUCUCAAUGGGGUAGCCCUAAUCCUAGUGCUGGCGGUGGCCUUGGUAGUGGUGGAGUAACUAGUGGUCAGUCUCCAAGCGGAGGUCCUGGAUAUGGUAAUCAAGGUUAUGGCUAUGGUGGAUAUGGUGGCAGUGAUGGAACUUAUGGGAACCAAGCUGCUGCUUAUGGGGCUGUCGGUGGGCGUACAGGAAGUGGCCCAAAUGGAAGUGCACCUGCAGGGGAGCUGCAAGCAGGUCCUGGGGGUUAUAUGGGAGGUGGCUACAGUGAUGCUGGUAGUAGUUUUGGGUAUGGAAACUCAGGCUGGCGAUCUGACCCUUCACAAGCUUCUGGUAACUAUGGGCAACAAUCAAAUGGACCUCAUGGUAGCCAAGCUGGGUAUGGUGGUGGAUAUGGCAGUGCUCCAACUAGACAGGCUCAGCAGUGAUUUUUCUACUUGAUUCCAUCUAUCCUUGGUUGGAGGUUUUUGCCAUCAGGGCUUUCCCAUUUCUGGUGCAUGGCAGGUGGCUUUUGCAAGACGUCACUGGCAUAUUGGGGCUGUUUGGAUUGCUUGAAUACCAGAGUAGAGAUGUUCGUGUACUAAGAUGGGUGAACUGAAGUGUCCACUCAAGCUAAACACAAGCUUAAUGCAAGGUGUACGUGUUUAGCAUGGAAUGGAACAUAAAAGUGGACUUGGCUUGGUUAAUUUGAUGCGUACCCCGAAACUGGUGCUGAAGCAGCUUUCAAACUGGAAUCUCUCAAUCUUCAUCGAGGUUUUAGUGUGAUGAAGAUUCAUGGUAGACGUGUUUGGUUUGUCGCUCUUGGAGAGUAGUUGGUCCAGUAAUCACAACAUGAACUGUCUGGUGCUCUGUUAGUAUUAUAGAGUAGAAUUUAAAAUUGGUUCUCAUUGAAGUAAACUGUCCUAACUGUCUGAAAAUCAGUCUGAUAUCAAUAAACAAGUUUCUUUUUUAGGGCAAAGAACUAA